rnacentral:rRNA from 1 species
AUUGAACGCUGGCGGCAGGCCUAACAUAUGCAAGUUGAACGAGUGGCGGAAGGGUGAGUAAUGAAUGGGAAUCUAGCUAAUGGAGGGGGAUAACUACGGGAAACCGUAGCUAAUAACGCGUACCAUAGGAUGUGCCCACGUGGGAUUAGUUAGUUGGUGGGGUAAAGGCCCACCAAGCCGACGAUCACUAGCUGGUCUGAGAGGAUGACCCGCCACACUGGGACUGUGCCACGGACCAGAGUCCUACGCGAGGCAACAGUGGGGAAUAUUGCGCAAUGGUGGGAACCUGAUGCAGCCAUGCCGCGUGAAUGAAGAAGGCCUUCGGGUUUUAAAGUUCUUUCAGUAGCGAGGCGUUAACUACAGAAGGAGAACCGGCUAGCUCCGUGCCAGCAGCCGCGGUAAUUC